UCCUCUGUUGUUUUUCUUUGUUCUUUGACGGAAGCCAUACCGAAAGACGAUUUUCCAACCAAAUGCAUCCGCGAAUCCCGCUGGUCUGCUGUUUUCUUCGGAGGAAGUCCGCGAGAGAGAGAGAAAAUUGAGGUGGCUUCGACCAAACAAAUAUUUGGGAUUUUCAGAUCUGGUUUUCCUCAACCUGUGAAUUCACCUUCCUCAAAUUUUCUGCAAUUUUGGCUUCUCUCCUCACAGAGCCCUUUCUGAGAACGAUCAACCCAAAGAUUUGGUAGCAUUCAGGAAAAAGCUUUGGAUUCUCAUUAUGAUGAACUGUUUGAUUUGAUUUGAUUUGUUUCUGGGGCCGCCACAUGCAAUUUUUGUUUUUUGGGAUUAUGGGGCAAAAGAGGAGGACCACGCUUUACUGUAUAUCUCAGAAAGUCUUUAACAGAGCAAUGGAAAGGUAGAAGCAAAUAAAAAUUAUAACAUCAAGCUUCCUCCGCUGCUUCAUUCACAUGUGAGUCAAGCUUUCGAAGAAAGUGUUAGCCCUGCUUCACGUUCCUUUGUGCCAAACAACUAUCUUGAACGGCAAAUGUAUAUGAAAAAGGCAUUAGAAGAGUGGAAAUGUGGAAUAAAAAAGGAUAAUGAUCUACAUCGGUUGCUUUUCAUGCCAAACAGACUCCCAAAUGGGGCUGAAUUGGCUUACUAUGUCAAAGGAUAGAAAAUGCUAGGUGGCUACAAGUAGGGAAAUGGUAUUGUCUGUGGUUGUUGUAACAAAGAGAUUAGCCCUUCAUAGUUUGAAGCACAUGCUGGAAUGGCUGCCAGGCGCCAAUCCGAUCGCCACAUCUAUAGUUCUAAUGGACUGACGCUUCACGAUAUAGCUAUUUCAUUGGCAAGUGGAUAAAAUCUUACCACUGGUGAUAGUGAUGAUAUGUGUGCAAUGUGUGGAGAUGAAGGGGAUUUGAUUCUUUGUUAUAGAUGCCCCCGGUCUUUUCAUGCAGGUAUGUGUUGAAGAAGAUUUGCUUAGCUAAGCAAAUAGAGAAGUUCACACGUGCAGCACAACAAGAGGUCAUUAUACAAAAGAAUUUCGCUUACAUUUUAAAUGUAGAAAUUCAUUGUUUGCUGUACUAAGGAGUUGGGUUUUAAUUUAUUUAUUUUGCACACAAUUAUAUAAAUAGUAUACUUCAUUUUUAUUUCUUUUUUUUCUAUCAUGUGUUGUGGAUGAACAAUGCACCAAAUACACCUGCUUUAAAUGGACAUGUUGCUUAUUUUCGCAAGUUCCUAACGGAUUGUUUGCUUGAUGUUUCAAGGAAAUAGUUUUUUUAUUUCUUUUAAUUUAUUUAUUUUGCAGUCAAUCAUAUAAAUAGUAUACUUCAUUUUUAUUUCUCUUUUUUCUAUCAUAAUAUUUAUCCUCAAUGCUACUCCACUGAUUUGAUGAAAAUGUCUUGAUUCCUUUUAAAGAUGUAAGUCCUAACUAUAUGGUUGAAUAUCCGCAUAUUUUCGCAUUUAUUGCUUUUGGUUUAUUGAAUUACGCAUUAUAGUUGGACAAUGCACCAAAUACAUUUGCAUUAAAUGGACAUGUUGCUUUUUUUUGCAAGUUCUUAACGGAUCGUUUGCUUACUGUUUCAAGGAAACAGAGUUUUUUUUUUUUUUGUUCUUUCUAUAUUUAGUUUAGCAAUUAGUUGAUUGGAAAUAAUGUAUGUCUAAUUGAGAAUAGUUUAUUGUUGAAUGAUAUGAUAGUUUCAAUAUUUGGUAGCAUAGUUGUUGCACGUGCAGGUUGGUGGUGGUUUCGAGGGAAGAACAUGGUCUAUGAAAUCGUCAUUCAUGCCUCAAAAGCAUUAUAAGAAGCAAUGCUUACUCCUUCGGUAGUCACAAAUAUAUCCCAACAUGUUAAGCCCAAGAGAUAGAUAAAGUAUGCAGCUGUGGAAUUGGUGUCUAUAAGACUGCUUUGGUAGUGCUUAUGUAUAGGUUAUUUGGACCGUUGAAAGGGAAAUAUAAUGAAGAAACAUUUGAUGGAAUUACAA